AGGGCUUCAUCACUGCUGGUGACUUAAUCAUGCCCGUCUGAAUAAAAGCCAUAUUUGCCCAGCAGCUAAACAGUGAAUGUGUUAAUGCACUAAUCCUCCAUAUGUUGGAGGCCGUCCACACGAAAACGCUCUUUUGUGUUUUCGUGUGGACGGCGAAUCUGCAAACGUUCAUCGCUCCACCUCUCGACCUCUGAACCCCGCGACGUCUCCUAACAACAACAACAACAACAACAAUGGCGGACUACAUGUUGUGUUCGUGUUUCCUGCAACUUACUCGCCUUAUAGUUGAGUUGUCCCACAUGCUGCUCUACAUUACUACAACACGAACAGAAGUUGACAAUUCACCGGCUGCCCGUAGCUGUCGGAGUCUCAGCGUUACACUAGCCGACUGUGUUUGUUUCGGACUGACGCCCGGCAUCAUUACUUCACCUCAGCGGGGGUCCGCCUGACGUCUCGUCAUUAUAAAAACAACACAACCUCUGGCAGAACGCACCGAGAGGCCCGGCCAGCAGGCGGUCACGUCUGCUGAAACAAUGGCAGUGACGGAGAGAGUUAGAGGCUCCUGCACUUCAUUUUACAUGCACGCCCUCACUCAUCCGCCACGCCAUUUCCAAUAACGGCCAAGUCAGGUCUCUCUGCAAGCACUUAUCCCAGUUUAAUAACAAGAACCAGAGUCACAGCGAGCGGGGGAACAGGAUGAGAGAGGCUGCAGGAGAGGAGACGAGCACCAGGCGCUACCAUGUCAGACUGACAAAAGGAAAUGAGGAGGGACAGGAGGAUGAGAAAACUAAGGUGAAGGAGGAUGAGCUUAAUAUGUGCACAGCUACAGCUCGGAGGAAAGGAGGGAGGAAGAGGAAGAGGAGGGAAGGGGAACGGAGAAGCAUUGUUCUGCAAGGUCAACUGUCUCCAUCAGUGCCAGUCUGAAAACACAGCGAGAGCCUCGGAGGCUGAUUCCUCGUUCAUUCACGACUCAGUUAAAAGUUUCCUGAUGACAGAUUAAACUGUGAUAAAGAGGAGAAGGAUGCUGACAUCACUCUGUACAUGUUUGUUUUCUGGAGACAACAAUGAAUCAGCUGAUUGAACAGUUGCUAAUCACAAAUAUGUUUUUAUCAAUCUUCCUCAUUUCCUUCAGCUUUAGCCUCCCAAUUUCACAGAAAACAAUUUAAAAACUCCAACAAAGUCCAGCUGUGUUGAAGGGUGUCUGGCAGAUCAGCAGGCUCGAGGCAGAAACCGCAAUCUCAAAACUCAGCGAGAUUAAAUCGAGCAUGACCUCGUGUCCCGUCAG